GGAAGUGUGGCCGAGCGGUUGAAGGCACCGGUCUUGAAAACCGGCGACCCUAAAGGGUUCCAGAGUUCGAAUCUCUGCGCUUCCGCCA
rnacentral:tRNA from 1 species